rnacentral:rRNA from 1 species
CCGCCCGUCGCUCCUACCGAUUGAAUGAUCCGGUGAAGUGCUCGGAUCGCGGCGACGUGGGUGGUUCGCCGUCCGCGACGUCGCGAGAAGUUCACUAAACCUUAUCAUUUAGAGGAAGGAGAAGUCGUAACAAGGUUUCCGUAGGUGAACCUGCGGAAGGAUCAUUGUCGUACCCUGGAAACAGAACGACCCGAGAACGAUGAAACAUCACUCUCGGUGGGCCGGUCUCUUAGUUGAUUCCGUGCCUGCCGAUUCCGUGGUUAUGUGUUYCGUCCCCGGCCAAGAUUUUUGUCUUGGUUGGUUCGUGCGCAUAGCUUCCGGAUUUCACCAAACCCCGGCACGAAAAGUGUCAAGGAACAUGCAAUUAAACAGCCUGCGUUYGCCAACCCGGAGACGGUGUUUGUGCGGAAGUUGUGCUGCAAUUUAAAGUCUAAAACGACUCUCGGCAACGGAUAUCUCGGCUCUCGCAUCGAUGAAGAACGUAGCGAAAUGCGAUACUUGGUGUGAAUUGCAGAAUCCCGUGAACCAUCGAGUCUUUGAACGCAAGUUGCGCCCCAAGCCUUCUGGCCGAGGGCACGUCUGCCUGGGUGUCACAAAUCGUCGUCCCCCCAUCCUCUCGAGGAUAAGGGACGGAAGCUGGUCUCCCGUGUGUUACCGCACGCGGUUGGCCAAAAUCCGAGCAAAGGACGCCUGGAGUGUCUCGACAUGCGGUGGUGAAUUCAAAACUCGUCAUACUGUCGAUCAUUCCGGUCCAAAAGCUCUCGAUGACCC